UAGUACGGCGAGUGAAGAGGGAAGAGCCCAAGAUUGAAAGCUGGCGUCUUCGGCGUCCGCAUUGUAAUCUCAAGAAGUGUUUUCCGCUUCGGACCAUGCCUAAGUCCCUUGGAAAAGGGCAUCAUAGAGGGUGAUAAUCCCGUACAUGGCAUGGAGCGCCCGAAGCUUUGUGAUACGCUUUCUACGAGUCGAGUUGUUUGGGAAUGCAGCUCAAAAUGGGUGGUAAAUGCCAUCUAAGGCUAAAUAUUGGGGAGAGACCGAUAGCGAACAAGUACAGUGAUGGAAAGAUGAAAAGAACUUUGAAAAGAGAGUUAAACAGUACGUGAAAUUGCCAAAAGGGAAGGGUAGGAGGUCAGAGAUGCGUCUUGGGAUUCAGCCUUGCUUUUGCAUGGUGUUUUUCCCAAGUUGCAGGCCAACGUCGGUUUUGGGCACUGGAGAAGGGUAGGAGGAACGUGGCACCUCUCGGGGUGUGUUAUAGCCUCCUACUGGAUACAGCGACCGAGACCGAGGAACGCAGCGUACUCGUAAGAGCGGGCCUUUUGGCACCUUUACGCUUAGGGCGUUGGCAUAAUGGCCCUCUACCACCCGUCUUGA
rnacentral:rRNA from 1 species